UCCCCAAACCUUUUGCAAACUUGAUUAACAGAUACACUAACCCCAACUUAAUACAGAUUGGAUCGGAGCAACGACAACAUAAAAAUCACUUCCUAUUACGGCGGACGUUCCGGUCGAGGAGAUCCAGUCGAAGGCGAUCAGCGGGCUGGGGGCCGAGCUGGCCGACCCGAGGGUGCUGAUCCGGGGGGGUUUGCUCAGGCGAUCCGGUCCGUGAGCAAUCAGAUGGCGUUCCUCGUCCUGCGGCAGUUCAUGAGCACGGUCCAGUGCAUCCUCACCGUCGCUAAGGAGGCGGUGAGCCCUCAGAUGGUGAAAUUUGCGACGGGGCUUAGCAACGAGUCCAUCGUUGACCUCCAAGGGAUCGUUUCCAUCCCCAAAGAUCCAAUAAAGGGGACGGGGCUUAGCAAAAUAUUUGUUGUUGGGUGUUUAGGCGAUUUCUGAGAUCUGAGGGAUUUAUUGGUAUCCAUACUCCGAAGUUGGUAGCUGGAUUAACUGAAGGUGGUGCAGCUUUAUAAACAAUGGUAAUAUGUGGUGGCUUUGGACGUGUGUUCGAAGUUGGCUAUGUUUUUAGAGCAGAGGAUUAAUAUACACAGGCAUUUAUGUGAAUUUGUUGGGCUUGAUGUUGAAAUGGAGAUCAAGGAGCACUAUUUUGAGGUUUGUGAUAUUGUGGACCGCUUGUUUGUAGAAAUGUUUGAUGACUUGAAUGAGAACUGCAAGAAGAAACCUGAUGCUAUCAAUAGACAGUGUCCUUUUGAACCCUUGAAGGUGAAUGCUAUGGUGUUUAUUUCGAGGAAAACUUAUAUUCUCAAGUGGCAUAAUAUGUCCUUAUGAUGUCCUUAAAUAUGAAAGAAUGAUGCUCUUUUGUGCUUUUGGACAACCUUCUCUUGUUUGUGGAUACUGAUUCUGAUUUGUUUGCAUUUUGCGGUACCUGAGAAAGACCUUGAGACUUACUUUCCAGGAAGGCAUCCAAAUGCUUCAGGUGCAUAUUUUUCAGUGUAAAAUAAUGGAUCAAGUUCA